rnacentral:rRNA from 1 species
AGCAGCCGCGGUAAUUCCAGCUCCAAUAGCGUAUAUUAAAGUUGUUGCAGUUAAAAAGCUCGUAGUUGAAUUUCGGGAUCAAUAUGUCGGUCGUGCCUUCGGUACGUACUGGUAUCAUUGGUCUCUCCUUUCUGACGAACCAUGAUGUCAUUAAUUUGGUGUUAUGGGGAGUUAGGACUGUUACUUUGAAAAAAUUAGAGUGUUUAAAGCAGGCUUUAGCUUGAAUACAUUAGCAUGGAAUAAUGAAAUAGGACGUUCGAACCUAUUUUGUUGGUUUCUAGGAUCAACGUAAUGAUUAAUAGGGAUAGUUGGGGGCAUUAGUAUUCAAUUGUCAGAGGUGAAAUUCUUGGAUUUAUUGAAGACUAACUACUGCGAAAGCAUUUGCCAAGGAUGUUUUCAUUAAUCAAGAACGAAAGUUAGGGGAUCGAAGACGAUCAGAUACCGUCGUAGUCUUAACCAUAAACUAUGCCGACUAGGGAUCGGAUGAUGUUAAUUUUUAAUGACCCAUUCGGCGCCUUAC